CAAUAUAUUACAUGCUGCAUUCCGUCCUCGAGUUUGAUUUUUGGGUUUCCAAAAUAAUAAUCAAUAACUAUUUUUAUACGUUACUACAUUUAUUGUUGUACAAACUAAUUGUAUAAAAGUUGAUAAAUUAUUUUUGCUAUUGAUAGCAAUAGUUUACUCCUCCAUGAUUAUAUGCAGUGGCGAUCGCUCCAUGAGGCCACCUCGAGUUCAUUUGUCACGCAAGUACUUAUCGUAUCGAACAUUAGUUACACAUGUAUGUAGAGUUGUAUGAAUGUCAAAUUAUUUACAUUCAUACUUAUAAUCCUCCAGUAAAUCUGUAGUUAGUAGGUAGAAUGGACAUAAUCAACAAUUUAACCGAUUCAUGAACAGGAACGCAUGAUCUUCGGUAGAUGUCAAACGCAGUGGAUGAUACCUCUAUGCGUGUUAUAUUAGCCGCGGAUUGGAAAGACACAAUUUUGAGAAAGAGCCGAGCGGGCCUUAAGCACCUCUGUGACGUAGCAGUACUUCAUUGGGUCACACAGCUUCUUUUCAUUGUUUAUUGAUUCGUUAACCCUGUAUGGUUAGAAAUUUUGGCAAAUUUGUGGUUCCAAUAUGUCUCCAAUGUCGAUACGCAUCUUACCGCUUUAGAAUUUUGCUUGAUAAUGCAUUGUGCCAAUGUCCUAACCUUACCUGAACGAUAUAAAGUGCAAUCACGGGACAGUGACACCGUUUUUCCCCAAAAUUGGAAUUAAUAAUGUGUUUCUUACGUGUGCGUGUACGUACAGACAAAAUUCUUCUGUAAAUCUUAAUCAUUUCUUCGUUAUAUUUCAUAAGAGUAAUACGUAGCAAUACUCUUCCAGCAGAUAUUCGCGAAUGGAUCAAAUCUUAUUACGCUUUCCCCUAAAAUUAACAUGUGAUUCGGAACACUGGUGGGGGAUUUGCCUCUACAUACAUAGUUAAAGCUUUCAGUAUGUAUAUAGGAACCUGCGUAUACACAUAUACAAUUCAAUGCUUACACUAGCGCUUCUAUCGGUGGCGUCAUGAAAUUACUGUUGGCUGCAUGCGUUCCUGUUGAAAAAAUUCCUCACGGGCGAAAGUCAAGGAGGGGCUUUGUGAGACAACCCGCGCGAAACUCUUUUCAACGUAGGGAGAAUGGUAGCUUCCUGGUAGAUAUGUUUCUCGGGUAAUUCGAGGCUUGCAUGCGGGAUGUGAGCACAAAUCACGUGCUUAUUAAGAAUUAAUACGUGCAUAUUAAGAAGACAACAUCAGAAACGGUUGAGUUGUUUGAAGAUAUUUUUAAUAGAAUUUUUUUCUUUGCACUAAAGACAUAAAUACAUCUUCAUAAAUACAUAAGAAAAACUAUAUUUCGUUCCCAUGUUUCGUUUUCAUGUUUUCAUUCAUGUCUUAAUUAAUGAUAAUCUUCAAAUCUGUUCUGUACAAAGCGUGCAUACUAGAUCAUAUUCUAUUUGAUGCAUGAUACGUAUAAUAUACUACCCAAGCGUCCUGUUUUGCGACCCAGUUUUCAGGACAGUAAAAACAAAUAAAAACAAAAUCACAUAGAAGCUCCGCUCCUCCAGCGGCUUAAACCAAAAAAUUAUAUUAAACACGAAAAAUGUAAAGCGCCGACACAUAUUAUAGCAUGGCUACGUCGUACCGUUGCGUAUCGGUACCUUUGCCUAAGAUAUCAUUACAUAAAUUCACCGUUUAUUGUGAAUACCAAAAUGUAUUUAAAAUUGUAUCUUGGGUUUAAUAAACAUCUUAAAAAAAAAAAAAAAAAAAAAAAGCAUGAUACGUAUAAAUAAAUAAAUUAUUAUGUCAUAUGCAAUAUUAAUUGUUCAAAAAAUGACGUAUUCAAUUUCAU